AUAAACAAUUUAUACAGUGAAACUGCGAACGGCUCAUUAAAUCAGUCAUAGUUUAUUUGAUAUUGACUUGCUACAUGGAUAACCGUGGUAAUUCUAGAGCUAAUACGUGCGGAAAGGGCCGACUGGGGAGGGGCAACCCUCUUCGGAUAGGUCCGUAUUUAUUAGAUACAAAACCGAUACGGGGCAUCCCAAACCGGCGGAGAGAAAAGGGUUUUUCCCUUCGGGGUUGGCCUUUUUUCUUUCCGUCGGGUCCCGGCCAUCUUUCGGUGAUUCAUGAUAACUUUGCGAAUCGCAGCGGCCUCGAGCCGGCGAUGAUUCAUUCGAAUUUCUGCCCUAUCAACUUUCGAUGGUAAGAUAGAGGCUUACCAUGGUGAUAACGGGUGACGGAGAAUUAGGGUUCGAUUCCGGAGAGGGAGCCUGAGAAACGGCUACCACUUCUAAGGAAGGCAGCAGGCGCGCAAAUUACCCAAUCCCGACGCGGGGAGGUAGUGACAAUAAAUACCGAUACGGGCCUCCGUUCGAGGCUCGUAAUCGGAAUGAGAACAAUUCAAACCCCUUAACGAGGAACAAUUGGAGGGCAAGUCUGGUGCCAGCAGCAAU
rnacentral:rRNA from 1 species